rnacentral:tRNA from 1 species
UGGCUCGGUUGGUAGAGCAUGGUGUUUGCAACGCCAGGGUUGUGGGUUCAAUUCCCAC